GAUACUUAGGAACGCUAGUGUAUCACUUUUGACUUCUUGUUGCCCAUGGAAAAAUAAUACCAAAUUCCUGAGGAUGCUACUCUGAAGCUUUGGAAUUCAACCCUUGAUCGAGUACAGUUGUGGGAUCCUAAACUGUAACUUUUGAAGCAAAAAUGUACCAACUCUGCUACCAUACCAUCAAUCAAAUGAAGAUGUGUAACAACUGUGUAGGCCAGCAACUUUCUAAACUAGAGAGUCUUUAAAACCCCAUUCUCACCAAUUGUUCCUACCUUGGAAUUUCCAACACUGUCAUUGAAAAGAAUGAGAACCAAGACCUGGCAUGUAAAGGUUUAGAGCCUACAAAGAAAUUAUUGAGAGUCUGACUUUGGUCAUUUUGCUGGACUUGGAGAAGAAAACAUAACCAAUUUUCUUAGAUGUGUACUUCUGGACAAACCCAGUGAGGUAACCCAUGAUCCAUAAUUAAAUAAGCAAUUUUCACAAGAUCUGUU